UGGAAUAGCUUCAGUGAAAUAGCUCUGAGGUCACAGGCAUUUCCCUAAACAACUCUGAGCAUGGGCUGCCCCUGUUCUUUCCAGAGCUGGCACUGGUUGGAGGAGUCCUGGGAACAUGUGAGCCUCAAAAGUCUUUUUUAAGAGAACUGCAACAAUUUAAUGAUAAAGUGUUGGAUUCACAACUGGAAAAAGAGGUGGAUGGUGGUGACAGAGGUGUGCUGUGUGGGAGCCAUACUUGCAGGUUGACAAAGGAGAUUGAACAGACAAAUGAGCACUCCUCUGAAGAAACACUCCCAACCUGGAGAGAAAGAGUUGAUUUAUCAAGGCAUGAAAAAUCAUGAAUAAAAAUUAAAUAUGAAUAUCUUUAAAGUUAA